AAAUGGUGUUAUGCAGACAAACAAACACAUUUGUUUUCAGAAAGUGUGAGAAUGGUAGAAGAAACACAAAUUAUUCAACUACCAAAAAUGUUCAAAUACCAAAAAUGCUCCAUUUUCAGUAACUGUAUAUAUAUAUAAAUAUUUUAUAAAUGGAGAAAAAGAACAACGAUAAGUGAUCACACUGGUUGCUAUAUCUUCAGUGAAAACAAUGAUUCAAAACACUUCUUUUAUAAAUGGACAAAAAAGAUGAACGAUCGCAUAACCCAAUUGCGAAAGAGAUAGUUACGAUGAGUAAAUAUAUAUUAUUAUAGUGUUAGAUCUGUAUUUUUGCUAUAACAUUAUAGAAUUAUUGCAAUUGCCUGA